rnacentral:rRNA from 1 species
AAGACCUUGCACUUUUGGAGCGACCGAUGUCUGAUUAGCUAGUUGGUGGGGUAAUGGCCUACCAAAGCUUCGAUCAGUAGCUGGUCUGAGAGGACGGCCAGCCACACUGGGACUGAGACACGGCCCAGACUCCUACGGGAGGCAGCAGUGGGGAAUUUUGGACAAUGGGGGCAACCCUGAUCCAGCCAUGCCGCGUGAGUGAAGAAGGCCUUCGGGUUGUAAAGCUCUUUCAGCCGGAACGAAACGGUUACGGAUAACACCCGUGACUACUGACGGUACCGGAAGAAGAAGCACCGGCUAACUACGUGCCAGCAGCCGCGGUAAUACGUAGGGUGCGAGCGUUAAUCGGAAUUACUGGGCGUAAAGCGUGCGCAGGUGGUUUUGUAAGUCAGAUGUGAAAUCCCCGGGCUUAACCUGGGAACU